rnacentral:rRNA from 1 species
UACGGAGGGAGCUAGCGUUGUUCGGAAUUACUGGGCGUAAAGCGCACGUAGGCGGCUUUGUAAGUUAGAGGUGAAAGCCCGGGGCUCAACUCCGGAACUGCCUUUAAGACUGCAUCGCUUGAAUCCAGGAGAGGUGAGUGGAAUUCCGAGUGUAGAGGUGAAAUUCGUAGAUAUUCGGAAGAACACCAGUGGCGAAGGCGGCUCACUGGACUGGUAUUGACGCUGAGGUGCGAAAGCGUGGGGGAGCAAACAGGG